GCCUCUCAAUGACCUUGAUAUGAUUGUUCUUCAGCCAUUCCUUGGUUGCCUUGGCUGUAGGUUCUAGGUCACUAACCUGUUGGAAGACCCAUCCAUGACUGAUUUGAAGGGUCCUGGCUUAAGGAGGGUAGGAAGUUCUCACUCAGGAUUUUCCAUUAAUGGCUCCAUCAACGUGGUGACGUAGCUCUGUGCAGAAAAAUAGCCACAAAGCAUAAUGCUUCCACCUCCAUGUUUGACAGCGGGGAAGCUGUUCUUGGGGUCAUAGGUAGCAAUUCUCUUCCUCCAAACCCAAUGGUUGAGUUGAUGCCAAAGAGCUCAGUUUUGAGCCAAACAUUCCAUUAUGCAGAAUAAACUGAUAAAGCAAACCCUAUUUUUCAGUGUGUGAUUUUCAUUUUUUCAUAAAUCUUAGGACAAUUUAGAUGAUAAAAGUAAUAAAUAUAUGAAAACAGUAUAAUACAGUAAAUAUGUAAAUAUUUGAUGUGAUGAACAAUGCUUAUCUGAUUUAGACCCAACAUGGAAUAUUUUAUGACAGACACACAUCAAGUUGUGUUAUUUAAUGCUCGUAAUUUAGACACAAAUGAUAGAAAUGUUAAGUUUAUAUGUCAAAGAGGCCAUGUGAAAAUUUUAGUGCAAAUACGCAUGCGUGCGCGCCGUGCACAUAAAGCCACCCCACCCCCACGUAUCCGCGCGCCGGUCGGUGGGUGUUGGGCGUCAAUAAAGGUAAUCUGGUUGUCGCGCGUUCUGCAUCUCUGCACGAGCUAAAGAAGUCUCAAAGCUGACUCUGCCACGAGGCUCGACAACUUCUUGCAUCAACUGUGAUCGCUGUGGCCGCCAAAACAUCCAAAUGUAAGGCGGGCUACAAAGAUUUCAGGCCAAAAGAGAACGCCUCACAUGUGAUGAAGUGUCUGUAUUGGUUGGAAAAACCAGCAGCCCUCCAGUGCUUCAGCCGUCCAACCAUCAACCGUUUCAGACAUCCAUCCUCUCACCACUUCAACCACCAAUCUUUCCACCACUUCA